GGAUACUAAGUACUUGCUGAAGGCAGCCAACUCAUUCCCGCAACAAAUGAUUCAGAUUCUGCUUCAUUCCUUCCAUGUGGCUCACAUGUAUUGAGUGUCCAUGAUAUCCUAGGCACUGAACUUGGCAGAGGGGCUUCAGAGGUGGAAGAUAAAAGUUUCUACUCUGAAGGAGCAGAACUGUGGUGCUCAGAAGUCAAGGAUGAUGCCUGUUAAUGAUCCACAGGGUUCUCACUAAGAAGUUUGGAAAUAAUCCACCUGCAUAUUUCAAGACAUUGAUUACCCAAUGUUUCUAAAAAGGUUCCAGCCAUAGAUGGGACACAUUAGCCACUGAAAACAAUGUAGCUGCAUGUAUUCCUCCCUGAGAGAAUAAGUGUUCCUGUCACACCCAGUUUUUUUUUUUUUUCUUGUAGUUGAUUUCUAGUCUCAUAGUGUUUGGUCAGAAAAGAUGCUUGGGCCCGGGAGAGGAAGAUGGCAGAAGAGUAAGACGUGGAGAUCACCUUCCUCCCCACAGAUACAUCAGAAAUACAUCUACCCGUGGAACUGCUCCUAUACAAUACCCACUAAAUGCUGGCAGAAGACCUCAGACCUCCUCAAAGGGAAGAAACUCCCAACGUACCUGGGUAGGGCAAAAGAAAAAAACAAAGCAGAGACAAAAGAAUAGGGACAGAACCUGCACUAGUGGGAGGGAGCUGUGAAGGAGGAAAGGUUUCCACACACUAGGAAGCCCCUUCGCGGGCAGAGACUGCAGGUGGCAGAGGGGGGAAGCUUCAGAGCCACGAAAGAGAGCUCAGCAACAGGGGUGUAGAGGGCAAAGCAGAGAGAUUCCCACACAGAGGAUCCAUGCCAACUGUCACUCACCAGCCCGAGAGGCUUGUCUGCUCACCCGCCGGGGCUGGUGGGGGCUGGGAGCCGGGGCUCGGGUUUCAUUUGGAUCGCAGGGAGAGGACUGGUAUUGGCCGGGUGAACACAGCCUGAAGGGGUUAGUGCACCACGGCUAGCCGGGAGGGAGUCCGGGAAAAAGUCUGGACCUGCCGAAGAGGCAAGAGACUUUUUCUUCCCUCUUUGUUUCCUGGUGCAUGAGGAGGGGGGAUUAAGAGUGACACUUAAAGGAAUUCCAGAGACAGGCGUAAGCCGCGGCUAUCAGCGUGGAACCCAGAGAAGGGCACGAGACGCUAAGGCUGCUGCUGCCACCACCAAGAAGCCUGUGUGCGAGCACAGGUCACUAUCCACAUCUCCCCUCCUGGGAGACUGUGCAGCCUGCCAGUGUCACGGUCCCAUGAUCCAGGGACAACUUCCCGGGGAGAACGCAUGUUGCACAUCAGACUGGUGCAAUGUCACGCAGGCCUCUGCUGCCACAGGCUCGCCAUGCAUCCGUACC